rnacentral:rRNA from 1 species
UACGUAGGGACCGAGCGUUGUCCGGAUUCAUUGGGCGUAAAGAGCUCGUAGGCGGCUGCUCAAGUCGAAUGUGAAAACUCGAGGCUCAACCUCGAGCCUGCAUUCGAUACUGGGCGGCUAGAGUCUGGUAGGGGGAUCUGGAAUUCCUGGUGUAGCGGUGGAAUGCGCAGAUAUCAGGAGGAACACCUGCGGCGAAGGCGGGUUGCUGGGCUGACACUGACGCUGAGGCGCGAAAGCUAGGGGAGCGAACGGG